AACAAAACAGGCAAGGCAAAUAGGUUUCUUUCCUGGAGCUUGGAUACACUCUUAUCCUGCCCUUGGUCAGCAGAACUCCAGGCUCGCUGGCCUUUGGACUCUAGGACUUACACCAGCAACCCCCACUCCUACCCCAGGUUUUCAGGCCCUGGAACUUGGCCUGAACAACACUACUGGCAUUCCAGGAUCCCCAGCAUGUAGAUGGCUGUCACAGGACUUCUCAGCCUCAGUAAUCAGAUUGCUGCAGACAUCAUGGGUGAUCAUGGAAGACAAGUUCGCCUCCCUGUUUGGCUUUUGAUCACGAAAUUUGGAAAUGAGACAGAGAAAUACUGGACAAUCUGUGGAGACUCGCUUGAACGAGAACUAUGAAGCCAAAAGAGGUCGGAUGGGCACCUUCCACCCUGUGCAAACAGAGAAAGCCACAGGAGCAAAAGCAGCACGUGUGCGGGAAGACGGAGCACCGAGACCAGGAGACCCCGAGGAAAGAGGAGGGCGGCAGAGUGGCUGCCUCUGUUCUGAGAAGGGUCUGACUCCUGCUUCCCUUCCUUUCAGAAGCCAAAAUUCUUCACUCUCCUGCAUUCCAUGGUCCUUAUAACACAGCCUACCUCUUUAUUUAAACAGCUUGAGUGGAGUUUUUGGUACAUUUUAACAAAAAGAGUAAAGCAAAAAAUUGUUGUACUCACAACUUGAGAUACAGAGGUGAACUAAAUAUUUUCCCUCCCAGGAACGAAGUCCUGUGAAGGGAAGACACAGCGGGAGAGGCUGCACACAGUGGCUCACGUCUGUAAUCCCAGCACUUCGGGAGGCUGAGGUGGAAGGAUCUCUUGAGCUCAGUUUGAGACCAGUCUAGCAACGCAGGGAGACCACAUCUCUACACGUUUUUGUUUUUUGUUUUUUUUUAAAUUAGCCAGGUGUGGUGGUGCAUGCCAGCUCCUCCAAAGGCUGAGGUGGGAGGGUCGCUUGAGCCUGGGAAGUCAAGGCUGUAUUGGGCCACGAUUGCACCACUGCACUCCAGCCUGGGUGACAGAGUGAGACUCCGUCUCAGAAAAAAAUAAAUAAAUAAAUAAUAAUAAUAAUAAUAAUAUGGCCGGAUAACCUGCAAGAUUAUGUUACAGUUAACAGUAUAUACAUUCCGGGGGUAUGAGAAGAGAACUAGUUCAUUCCCCCUGCAUGCUCUGGUAAACAGAAAACACUAAAAAGGUCAGACACAUUUUUUUCCAAAAAAUAGUGCACCAAACUAGUUUUCCUUGUAUGAGAACCAGACUCAUGGAUUUGUACCUAAGCAUUCCUGAUUCUGUAUAUCUGAGACUGGGUACGGGAAUCUGUAUUCUAAAAAAUCUUCCUGGAUUACUAUGACGCCCAGCCGGGCUUGGAAGGCCUAUAAACCAUUGAGACAAAGGUGACAGGAAAAUCAGAAAAUAUUAACAAAUUGGAAGUAGCAUUUGAGAGAGAUCUGAAAGAUGAGUAAGACCUGUCAUAUAUAGAAAGAGGUUGGGAAAUAACUUUUCAGGAAGAAAGAGCAAAUUGCAAAUUACCACACAAAUAAAAGUUGCUUAUGUUCACUAUUAUUUCCAUUUUUGUUAUGGUCACAAAUAUAUACAUGUCUGAUUGCACCUACUUACACAGCUGGGAAGAAGAUAGGGCUAACAAUAGAUUCAAUCUACCUGCCUCUGUCAAACAGACAUUAUUAACAUGCCCUGCGAAGUAUCACAGAAGUUACUUGAAUUUUUUUUUUUUUUUUUUUUUUUUUGAGACAGAGUCUCACUCUUGUUGCCCAGGCUGGAGUGCAAUGGAGCAAUAUCGGCUCACCGCAACCCCCGCCUCCCAGGUUCAAGCAAUUCUCCUUCCUCAGCCUCCCGACUAGCUAGGAGUACAGGCUUGUGUCACUACGCCCAGCUAAUUUUGUAUCUUUAGGAG
rnacentral:lncRNA from 10 species